CCUACGGGGGGCUGCAGUAAGGAAUAUUGGUCAAUGGUCGGAAGACUGAACCAGCUAUGCCGCGUGCAGGAAGAAGGCUCUUAGAGUUGUAAACUGCUUUUAACAGGGGAGAAAACGCUACUGCGGUAGUUCUUGACGUUACCUGUUGAAUAAGCAUCGGCUAACUACGUGCCAGCAGCCGCGGUAAUACGUAGGAUGCGAGCGUUGUUCGGAUUUAUUGGGUUUAAAGGGUGCGUAGGCGGCUUAGUAAGUCGCGGGUGAAAGUCUUACGCUCA
rnacentral:rRNA from 1 species